rnacentral:snRNA from 1 species
AGCUUUGUGCAGUAGUAGUAUCGUAGCCAAUGAGGUUUAUCCAAGGUGCAAUUAUUGCUAAUUAAAAAUAGC